AUGCUGGCUGUGGAAAUAACUCCAUAAGAGAUACAGGAUGGCCUGGGAUCUGUCUGAGUCAGAGGAGUUGACCUAGGGUAGCUGCUGGAGUGCCACUUGCUUGCCUGGAUUCAUACCGUGAGGCAUUUGAAGUUAAUCACCUCAUUAGGAAAGUGGGCAUCGAGCACACCUCCGAGCAGUCAAGCACCAGACACUUUUCUUCAUUAUUUGAACAUGAUCCAAUGCUGUUUCUGCCAAAAGAGGAAUUUCUGCUCAUUUCCAUGAGGGGUGAGUUAAGCCCUGGGAACAGAGAGUGAAAACCAUGAUUAUUGGGCCACUCCUUCUACUGAUGACAAUGCUGUGGUAAGCCUUCCUUUCUAACACAUGAAUCUGCCACAGAUUCCAG